AAGUAUAGAUUGUAAAAAUAAAGAAAUUUUAGAAAAGGCUUGAACGAGAAUUGUUGGAACUUUCUUCAAGAGCAACGGAACUGGGUAAGAAAAUAGACACAGAAACGUAUCGGGAAAGUUCCCUUUUUGUUCAAGCAAUUGAAAGCAAGCCGGGUAUUAUUGAUAUAGAGCAAGAAUUGUCAAGAAUUAAAAGGGAGAAUAAUAUUAAACAAUUUACCUUUAUACCAGACCAACAGUUGCAAACUAUUUUGCUUGCACCUGAAAAGCUUGGGAAUCUUGAUGGAUUACUUUCCGAAUCCAUUUCGCCGGCUGAAUCAUCUUGUUAUAAAGAAGGCAAUAAAAAUGUAGAUGAAUUCCAUGAUAAAAGCGAAAGCGGUGGCGAUUUUUUAGGUGAUAAAAAUGCCAACGGCAGCAAUAAUAAAGACGAAGACUUAAAACGUUGUCAGAUAUCCGAGGAAUCUACUAGUAUUGUAAGACCUAUUGGGAAACCUUGGUUUAAAGGAUAUUUUUAAGGUUCAUAGAGGACAGAAUGGUACGAACGAAGACAACUCUUUUACUGUAAGAUGACAUGCUACGGGACGAAAGAGUUUCAGACUUACAAUGUACAGUGUUGAGCUUGUUUAAAUUGUGUGCGUUAAGGCAUUUGUGAUUUGGCGUCUAAGAAAUUUUAAGGUCCGCAAGAAUGGAAAGAUUGAAAAACAAUUUGUAUGAAGAGCAUAACAUAAGGAACAUAUUCUAAAAUCUUAAUUCUUGAUAAUGAUGAAUGAUGAUUUUUCCUUCAAGCUAUAAACUAUGUAUAGGUUAAAGUUUAUUAGUACGUAUUUACAAAAUUGAAUUAAAUAUAUUCUAUGGCUGCAUAUUUCUACCGAUUAUUAAACAUGUAAGUUUAACGUUUAACUUAGUUACCUUACCAACUACAUGUAUAGUUAGUUCUUGUGUAAAUAAGAUAAAUAACAGAUAUUCAUGUGAUUCACUAGAUAUAGUGGUAUCAAUUUAAAACUGCAGACACUUAACAUUGAAAUAACAGAUAAUUAACAGAUAAUUAUCUAUUUAUCUAUAAAACUUUGAGCUCGUUAGUUCGUAAGUACAGUGAAAUAAAGUAAGGCCUCAACAGGACGUAGGAUUU